CGGGGUGUAGCGCAGCUUGGCUAGCGCGCUUGAAUGGGGUUCAAGAGGUCGUGGGUUCAAAUCCCGCCACCCCGACCA
rnacentral:tRNA from 20 species